UGGUGGCAUGGAGCAGUUUUUUGUUUUCAAUUCAAACUUCUUUUGUUCUUUUCUUUUCUUUUAUUUUUUACUUUUUUUUCUUUCUUUUUGAAAAUCAUGUAAUGUGAGUAAGGAUAAAAUAUUCAAUAUGCAUAUCAAAUUAAAGAUCAUAAAAUUAGCUUUAAUUUGAUAUAUAAUAAGUACAAAACAAAUUUAAGAUGAUAAAGAUAUUAAAAUUUAAAGUUUCAAACUAAAUUAUUUUCUCUCUCCUCUCUCUUAUUUUACUUCUUUUUCUUUAAUGAUUUAUUUUUCAUUUGAUUUAUUAUAUUUUGUUUUCGUAUAUCAUUCA
rnacentral:lncRNA from 1 species